rnacentral:lncRNA from 1 species
UCGAUCUCGAUGCUCACGAGUUGACUUGAAUUAUGCGAAAUUCUGUUGGUUUGAGCUUGAAUUUUGCUGAAAUAUGGUUAAACUUACGAAUCUCUCUGCAAUUUCGUUGACAGAUCUAUCGAGUCCGUUUGUUUCGGUGAUUUCUUCAGUAAAUCUCGUCGAACUGGAGAAUUAUCUGAAUUCUAAGCUCAAUUUCUCUUCCACAAGCGACGGAGAAGAGAAACAUCUGUUGAAUUCUCAGAUCUAAGUUGCUAGCUACAGAAUUCUCUAUAAUUUUAAAUUUGCGUCCGAGAUAAUCGUGAUAAUUCACCGCGCAUAGAGUUAUUUUGAAAAAAAAGUUAUCCAAGAACCGUUGAAGCUGUCGUUGUUCAUGGAGCUUCCUCAACCUCGUCCCUUCAAAGCUCAAGGUAACACACAUAGCCCUAAUUUUAAAAUAAAUAAAAAGGAAGAGUUUAAUUUUUAUAUUAUUCAACUUCCAAUAGGAUUAUUAUUAUUAUUAUUA